UACGGGGGGGGCAAGCGUUGUUCGGAAUUACUGGGCGUAAAGGGCGCGUAGGCGGUCCGCUAAGUUCGGCGUGAAAUCCCCUGGCUCAACUGGGGAACGGCGCUGGAUACUGGUGGACUCGAGUACCGGAGAGGAGAGUGGAAUUCCUGGUGUAGCGGUGAAAUGCGUAGAUAUCAGGAGGAACACCGGUGGCGAAGGCGGCUCUCUGGACGGAUACUGACGCUGAGGCGCGAAAGCGUGGGGAUCAAACAGG
rnacentral:rRNA from 1 species